UACGGAGGGUGCGAGCGUUGUCCGGAAUCACUGGGCGUAAAGGGCGCGUAGGCGGCAUGCCAAGCGUGUGGUGAAAGCCCGGGGCUCAACCCCGGGUCGGCCGUGCGGACUGGCGUGCUCGAGCACUGUAGGGGCGGGUGGAAUUCCGGGUGUAGCGGUGGAAUGCGUAGAGAUCCGGAAGAACACCGGUGGCGAAGGCGGCCUGGUGGGACAGUGCUGACGCUGAGGCGCGACAGCGUGGGGAGCAAACAGG
rnacentral:rRNA from 1 species